UAAGCCUUAGUAAUUAAUUUUUACUCCUUAAAAUUUGCAAUUUUAUAUCAUUAUUGAAUAUAAAGCUU
rnacentral:tRNA from 1 species